ACAUAUUCUCACAAGAUAAGCCGAUCGCAUACAAACUCACAAACUGCACACCGCCCUAUAUAUAAUUAAUCCCACAUUUGCAUUGCAAUUUGCAAUAUGGCUCCAGCUCCACACAUGGCGGCAAUGGUGAUCUUCUUCACUGCUCUCCUCUUGUUGGCAUCGUCAUCUUCUUGCCUUGCACGAGCUAGGAUGAUGAUGAUGCCAGGUGAUCAUGCUGUGAAUGGCAAGGAGACUAGUGCUUCUUCUAAGGAAGCUACUUCACCUCAUGAUUUGCUGCAAGGUGUAGCGCCGCCAUUGCCACCGUCGCCGCCGGCGACCGAGAUCAUCCGCCCGGACAGCAGCGGCUGGAUGCCGCAGGGGUCGGUACCCAGCCCAGGGAUCGGCCACCGGGCGUAGAUUUCUCCCUUCGUUUUAAAAUAUAGCAAUUUUAAAAUCGGAUGUAUGAAAUAUAUCAUAUCUGUUCAGAUUUGUGAAACUAGCUAGAACGUAUAUGUCAUUUAAUUUUAAGUUGCUAUAUUUUAAGACAGAUGGAGUAUAUUUCGAUCUAGCUUAACUACAUGUAGCUAAGCUAUAUUGUGUAUAAUUAAUUAAGUUGAUCAGGAUUCAAGAAGAGAUGCAAAUGGGUAUGUAUGUAUUCUUUCAUGUGCUUCGGAGAAUGCCUGUAUAAAAAGCCUCUGAACUUUGAUCGGGUAGUAAA
rnacentral:lncRNA from 3 species